rnacentral:rRNA from 1 species
AAAGCUCGUAGUUGAACCUCGGGAUCAAUGGGUCGGUCAUGCCAAUGGUAUGUACUGGCCUCAUUGGUUCUCACCUUCUAAGGAACCAUGAUGUCAUUCAUUUGAUGUUGUGGGGAAUUAGGACUGUUACCUUGAAAAAAUUAGAGUGUUUAAAGCAGGCUAACGCUUGAAUACAUUAGCAUGGAAUAAUGAAAUAGGACAUCGCAUUCUAUUUUGUUGGUUUCUAGGAUCGAUGUAAUGAUUAAUAGGGAUAGUUGGGGGCAUUAGUAUUCAAUUGUCAGAGGUGAAAUUCUUGGAUUUAUUGAAGACUAACUACUGCGAAAGCAUUUGCCAAGGAUGUUUUCAUUAAUCAAGAACGAAAGUUAGGGGAUCGAAGACGAUCAGAUACCGUCGUAGUCUUAACCAUAAACUAUGCCGACUAGGGAUCGGAUGAUGUUGAUUUUUUAAUGACUCAUUCGG